UAGAGUUUGAUCCUGGCUCAGAACGAACGCUGGCGGCAGGCUUAACACAUGCAAGUCGAGCGCCCCGCAAGGGGAGCGGCAGACGGGUGAGUAACGCGUGGGAAUCUACCCUUUUCUACGGAAUAACGCAGGGAAACUUGUGCUAAUACCGUAUGAGCCCUUCGGGGGAAAGAUUUAUCGGGAAAGGAUGAGCCCGCGUUGGAUUAGCUAGUUGGUGGGGUAAAGGCCUACCAAGGCGACGAUCCAUAGCUGGUCUGAGAGGAUGAUCAGCCACAUUGGGACUGAGACACGGCCCAAACUCCUACGGGAGGCAGCAGUGGGGAAUAUUGGACAAUGGGCGCAAGCCUGAUCCAGCCAUGCCGCGUGAGUGAUGAAGGCCCUAGGGUUGUAAAGCUCUUUCACCGGUGAAGAUAAUGACGGUAACCGGAGAAGAAGCCCCGGCUAACUUCGUGCCAGCAGCCGCGGUAAUACGAAGGGGGCUAGCGUUGUUCGGAAUUACUGGGCGUAAAGCGCACGUAGGCGGAUUGUUAAGUGAGGGGUGAAAUCCCAGGGCUCAACCCUGGAACUGCCUUUCAUACUGGCAAUCUAGAGUCCAGAAGAGGUGAGUGGAAUUCCGAGUGUAGAGGUGAAAUUCGUAGAUAUUCGGAGGAACACCAGUGGCGAAGGCGGCUCACUGGUCUGGA
rnacentral:rRNA from 1 species